rfam:Oikopleura dioica, whole genome shotgun assembly, reference scaffold set, scaffold scaffold_439
AGGCUGAAAGCAAAAAGGAGGCAAAGUUCAUGAUUGUCGAAAGACAAGGAAUACUGUCAUGGAAUUGCUCUCUUGAUGCUCUUUGCA